rnacentral:rRNA from 1 species
GACGAACGCUGGCGGCGUGCUUAACACAUGCAAGUCGAACGGUAAGGCCCUUCGGGGUACACGAGUGGCGAACGGGUUAGUAACACGUGGGUGAUCUGCCCUGCACUUCGGGAUAAGCCUGGGAAACUGGGUCUAAUACCGGAUAGGACUGCGGACCGCAUGGGCUGGGGUGGAAAGCUUUUGCGGUGUGGGAUGGGCCGGCGGCCUAUCAGCUUGUUGGUGGGGUGAUGGCCUACCAAGGCGACGACGGGUAGCCGGCCUGAGAGGGUGACCGGCCACACUGGGACUGAGAUACGGCCCAGACUCCUACGGGAGGCAGCAGUGGGGAAUAUUGCACAAUGGGCGCAAGCCUGAUGCAGCGACGCCGCGUGAGGGAUGACGGCCUUCGGGUUGUAAACCUCUUUCAGCAUCGACGAAGCGAAAGUGACGGUAGGUGCAGAAGAAGGACCGGCCAACUACGUGCCAGCCGCCGCUGUAA